rnacentral:lncRNA from 1 species
GAAAGAAGACAGAAGUCCCAAUUGCUGUACCCAGCUGGAUGACCUGAUGUGCAAGAAUGCCUCUCCUACCAAUGGCCAUAUGGUAUCUUACAUCCCUUUGUAGGAAAUUCCCAGUGACCUUAGUUUUCCAGUCUAAAAAUAUCCAAAAGAAAACCUAUAACCCCAAAGACUGAAUGCAUAGACUGCCUUUUCCACCUAGCCCCUACUUGAAUGUCCCUGGAGUUUGAGAUUACAUAGCCGACAGGAAUCCUUGGGAGUGCCAACCAGAUUCUCUCCAAGCCAGGUUAAGAGUCGUGCGUGAGGGCUGGCGAGAUGGCUCAGUGGUUAAGAGCACAGACUGCUCUUCUGAAGGUCCUGAGUUCAAAUCCCAGCAACCACAUGGUGGCUCACAACCAUCCAUAAUGAGAUCUGAUACCCUCUUCUGGAGUGUCUGAAGACAGCUACAGUGUACUUACAUAUAACAAUAAAUAAAUCUUAAAAAAAAAAAAGAAAGAAAUUACAUUUCCGUUAAAAAAAAAAAAAAGGUGUUCGUGAGCUGGGCGCAUGGUGGACCACGCCUUUAAUCCCAGCACUUGGGAGGCAGAGGCAGGCAGAUUUCUGAGUUCGAGGCCAGCCUGGUCUAAAGAUUCCAGGACAGCCAGGGCUACACAGAGAAACCCUGUCUCGAAAAACCAAAAAAAAAAAAAAGGACAAAGUCUCAAGUGCUUAUCUCCUUGUACUUCUUGUACUUGUAAUGUGGCUGAAGAUGACCUUGAAAUUACAAUCUUGGUGCAUCAACCUUCCAAGUUCUGGGAUUCAAGUGUGUACCCGCUGCUAGCAGAAUACUCCUUCCAGGUAGCUAGGAUAAGCCCACACCCACAGUGACACACCUACUCCAACAGGGCCACACCUUCUAAUAGUGCCACUCCCUGGGCAGAGCAUAUAUAAACUAUCAGAACAACCCUUAGUCUAUCUUUCAGUUAAUGCUUGGGCUGGCAGGCUGACUAGGUGGGCCUGAGUAUUUGCUGCCUUGUCUAAUGACUGAAGAUUGCCCCUAGGACUCACAUGGAAGAAGAAGAAGACCAACUCUCAAAAGUUGUCCUCUGACCUCAACACAGGUCCCAUGGUGUGUGUGCGCUCACACACACACACACACACACACACACACACACACCAUAGAUAGAUACAUAGAUAGAUACAUAGAUACACAGAAAGAGAAAGAGAGAUACACAGAAAGAGAAAGAGAUACAAUUUGAAAAAAGAAAAUAAAGCCACAGUCUGACCUCUGAAGGAAACUAGCACAGUGCUUUUUAUACCGAAGUCCUAUGAGUUGUGUAAUAUCUAUUCAAUUAACUAAAACAUGUUCCCUUUUGUAGCUCCAACCUCACCAUUACACCCAUUACACCCCAUCCAGCCUUUUAAUUCUGUAUUCAAAACACACAAACUUCCCACACAGCUGCUGGCUGGCUUUCUUGGGCAGAGGCUGCCUCCUGGGGCUGAACUUUAUGGGGUUGUAAAAUAUUUACAUACCUAAUCCUCAAUGCAUAGGUUUUUGUGACUCCUCCGAGUUCCUAAGCAGCUUUCCAUCAAAAGCACCUUCCCACUGAGGCCUAACCUUAGCCCUCUGAACACCCACGGAUUUCCAGUUGUACCCUGGUCUCAAGUUCAGGAUACAUUCUAGGUCUGCAAUAGCCAUUCAUGAAAUUGCCAGUCAGCCAGAGGCUUUGAUAGCUUUGCUAGGACAACCGGAGUAUUCAUCUGCACUGGGGUGUGGUGGGUCCAGCAAGCUCUUUUUUUAAGGUUACAGAUUGACUCUUUGUGCCUAACUUGUCUACACUUACAUUCUCUCUCUUCCAUCCUGUGUGACUUAAUAGACUACUUCAUUCAAACUCAAUGAGAGAGAGUUCCUGGGAGAGUUGGUGCUCUAGUUUGUUGUCUGUUGCUAUGAUAAACAAGAGCUUAAUGUUUCUACUGCUACAGUGAAACACCAUAGCCAGAAAGCAAGAUGUGGAGAAAAGGGUUUAUUUGGCUUAAACUUCCACGGCACUGUUCAUCAUUGAAGAGCGUCAUGGCAGGAAACUGGAACCAGGAGCUGAUGCAGAGGCCACGGAGGGGUGCUACUUGCUACUUACAGACUUGCUCCACAUGGCUUGCUCAACCUUCU